AAGUCCAAAAUACAGAGUUACCCGCACUGGCGAGUUAAGUAAGCUAUGUACAUAAACUCAGACAAAACAUCUACCUGCAGUAGGGGUGCCUCUAGCUCUGUCAGUCGGGUAGGGCUCUAGCUCGCGACGCCCUUACCUCGAUCCUGAUCCGCGAAAGGCGCAGCAGCCGAAACCUGUGGCUCUGCAAAACAAGAGUAACAACUGGGCGUGAGAACUACUGCAAAAACAAGUAGUCCUCAGUGGGUACCGCCCAAAACAACAUCGGUCAACCACUAAGUCAACAGAAGGGAGUAAGGAUAGUAGGAAAAGCAGGAAGUACACUCUACAGCUAUCAAUCACUACACUAUCAUGCUCUACACUAACCAAUUGUAGGAAAAGUCAAAUCUGACCCAAUCCAAUCGGGACUGUAAGCAUACCCGUCCUCGAGACUGUGAAUACACUCGUCCCUGCCCCGUUGCGACUGUCCAGCUACCUCCACACUAACUGGUCCGUGGAGAGUAAGUCCAACUGGCAUGAGCGACACCAACGCGAAAGCACAAAGCCAGUCUCCGGAGUGGCACUCGUGGGCGCUACCCAACCGAGUAUGCAGCGUAUCUCUGUCGAGCUCAAUCAGGCUCUCAAUAGCCAAAGUCAAGUAACCGACUCAAACUGGUCUAACAACUAAUAGGUAACGUGCCCUCGGCACAAUCUGACGCCAAAAAGGCGAUACGGGUCCACCGUAAACUCUGACGGCACCCAACAGUUCGAAACAACCUGAACGAUCCUGUAAAAAUCCACUCGGCAUACCAGCACGAGCGUAAAUAUAUUCUAAACUACCUGGAGUACUCGUCUUGAGGAUACUGCGAUAGUACAAUUUUAUAACGGCUCCUAGAGCUAAAUCAGGCAGUUUAAACAGGUGACAGGUCCAAAUCGCAGGUUUUCUCCUAAUUCAAUUUCCAAGUCCAACAUGUAUAACCUACUUAAUUUAUUACCACAUGCUCCAAAUUCAGAUUUGCAAUCUAUCAUAUAAUCCAUGAAUUCGAGCUAGAAUAGAUUAUCAAAAAUCGAGAUCUAUACAUGUCGACGAUUAUGAACUUAGGAGUCAAAACCGAUGUAACCCACCUCGCACGCUAAUCCCUGGCAGCACGGAACCCCCUCGGCUGCGACACCACCUGCUGGAUCGACCAAAAACGCCCGAGUCUCGAAAUCGAGCUAACUCCAAACUAAAAACACCAAAAAUCCUCAAUUCAGUCUAAAAUCCACAACAGCAGAGAAGAGAAGGAUUUCGACCAAGCUAACCUUCACCAAAAUUUGCAAGUAAGGGCUUCGUGGAUUCCUCUCGAAGUCCCGAAUCCAACAAACCAAGUCUCGUCGCAAUCCGAUGCUCCUACGUCGCGUACGAGCCAAAAUACCCACAGUCGACGCAGAAAUCUGCAGCAGUAGCACCCG
rnacentral:lncRNA from 1 species